GGCAUUUGCGCUACUAGAAUCACGUCUAUCAAUUGGGGCCCCAACGUAUCUUGUCCCAGAGGAAAGGCCUCAUACCACCAACUUGUGGCAGGCUCUUCAUGAUCAAUCCUACGCAGACACAAACGGCAGCAAUGGCGACCAAGGAAAGCAUCGCCGGCCUAUUAGACAAGAACCUAUUUGUCCGGGAGUGGAAUGCAAGCUGCUGGACCUGCUGGACACAUUGUCUGCAGCUCAAUGUUUGGUUCAUCCCUCGCUGUUUUUUCUCCACACCAAAUGUGAUUUGGUCGGCAGGCUUCAAUCGGCUAGCAUGCUUUCCGGCAGUAUCAAUUGUGCUGGGGAUGGUAACCGAGACAUGAGCUCUGCUCACCCUUCUGUCAAUUUUGUCCUGUACCAAUUGGAUAUAGGAUAUGUGGCCUCUCUUUCGAGCAUAUUCCUCAGGAGUGAAGCCAGUGGCGUCACGAGCGUUCUUCCACGCUUUGAUUCCCAACUG
rnacentral:misc_RNA from 1 species